rnacentral:rRNA from 1 species
UACGAAGGGGGCUAGCGUUGUUCGGAAUUACUGGGCGUAAAGAGUGCGUAGGCGGUUUUCUAAGUUUGGUGUGAAAUCUCCCGGCUUAACUGGGAGGGUGCGCCGAAGACUGGAAGGCUUGAGUAUGGGAGAGGUAAGCGGAAUUCCUGGUGUAGCGGUGAAAUGCGUAGAUAUCAGGAGGAACACCUGCGGUGUAGACGGCUUACUGGACCAUAACUGACGCUGAGGCACGAAAGCGUGGGUAGCAAACAGG